CUUAAGGUAUAAAUAGGGCCGCGUCGGCGCAGGCCUGUCUCUUUAGGCGUCCCUCUCUGGGUGAGCUUGUUCUCGAACCGAUCCGUGAUUCCAGACACCUUGUUUAUGGAGGAAAGAAGAGGACCUGCAUGGGCACCUACUGAAUAUUUAACUAUGUCCAACAUGGUGAAAUUUUGUCUGUAUUAGGGCCUCAGCCAUUAGAAGCUGGGAAACCUUUUCUGCCUACUUAGCUGUUUGGUAAAUCAGUUUUUUUCACAGGUAAUGCCUAGAUUUGAGGACCUUCAGCAUGGUUCUUUUUUUUUUGAAGUUCAGGUUUCCCCCCCCCAGACCGUAUUAUAUGACCCACUUUUUUUUUUUGUUCCCCAGUUCUCUAUAAGAUUAUGGUUGUAAGUUCAAAUCUAGACUGGGUUAUAAGAUCUAAUUGUAAUCUGAUUAUUUGUGAUAUACCUUACAAAUCUGAAUUAAAGCAUUUGAAUGUCUUCUCUUGUGAUUUAAUGUGUGUAUGCAGAUGGGUCAGGAUAAACCCUGGGUGUUUGGUCCGUCCACAUGGGAUUGUUCCUUUAUCUGCUCUGGUGAUGGUAUUACAGCAGUAUUGGAUAGGAAACUGGUCAAAUGGAUGAGUUAUGUGGGAAGUUAGUCCCAAGCAGUUCAACAUGGACAGGACUAUGAUGUGUGGUGGGCUGGUCCCCAG